AUUGAACGCUGGCGGCAUGCUUUACACAUGCAAGUCGAACGGCAGCACGGGGGCAACCCUGGUGGCGAGUGGCGAACGGGUGAGUAAUGCAUCGGGAACAUACCCAGUCGUGGGGGAUAACGUAGCGAAAGUUGCGCUAAUACCGCAUACGUCCUGAGGGAGAAAGCGGGGGAUCGCAAGACCUCGCGCGAUUGGAGUGGCCGAUGUCAGAUUAGCUAGUGUGGGUAAAGGCCCACCAAGGCGACGAUCAGUAGCUGGUCUGAGAGGACGACCAGCCACACUGGAACUGAGACACGGUCCAGACUCCUAGGGAGGCAGCAGU
rnacentral:rRNA from 1 species